rnacentral:rRNA from 1 species
GGUGAACGCUGGCGGCGUGCCUAAUACAUGCAAGUCGAGCGAACGGACGAGAAGCUUGCUUCUCUGAUGUUAGCGGCGGACGGGUGAGUAACACGUGGAUAACCUACCUAUAAGACUGGGAUAACUUCGGGAAACCGGAGCUAAUACCGGAUAAUAUUUUGAACCGCAUGGUUCAAAAGUGAAAGACGGUCUUGCUGUCACUUAUAGAUGGAUCCGCGCUGCAUUAGCUAGUUGGUAAGGUAACGGCUUACCAAGGCAACGAUGCAUAGCCGACCUGAGAGGGUGAUCGGCCACACUGGAACUGAGACACGGUCCAGACUCCUACGGGAGGCAGCAGUAGGGAAUCCUCCGCAAUGGGCGAAAGCCUGACGGAGCAACGCCGCGUGAGUGAUGAAGGUCUUCGGAUCGUAAAACUCUGUUAUUAGGGAAGAACAUAUGUGUAAGUAACUGUGCACAUCUUGACGGUACCUAAUCAGAAAGCCACGGCUAACUACGUG